rnacentral:rRNA from 1 species
GGGGUGCCUACGAGAGUAGGCCGCAGUGAAUAGGCUCAAGCAACUGUUUAUCAAAAACACAGGUCUCUGCUAAAGCGUAAGCUGAUGUAUAGGGGCUGACGCCUGCCCGGUGCUGGAAGGUUAAGGGGAAUAGUUAGCGCAAGCGCAGCUAUGAACUUAAGCCCCAGUAAACGGCGGCCGUAACUAUAACGGUCCUAAGGUAGCGAAAUUCCUUGUCGGGUAAGUUCCGACCCGCACGAAUGGCGUAAUGAUUUGAGCACUGUCUCGGCAAUAAAUCCGGUGAAAUUGUAGUGCAAGUGAAGAUGCUUGCUACCCGCGGUUGGACGGAAAGACCCCGUAGAGCUUUACUGUAGCUUAGCAUUGAAUUUCGGUAUUGUCUGUACAGGAUAGGUGGGAGACUUAGAAGCGAGGGCGUCAGCUUUCGUGGAGUCGUCCUUGGGAUACCACCCUGACAGUACUGGAAUUCUAACUGGAGGCCAUGAAUCUGGUCACAGGACAUUGCUAGG